GCGACGGCUAAAUACGUGCCAGCAGCCGCGGUAAUACGUAUGUCGCAAGCGUUAUCCGGAUUUAUUGGGCGUAAAGCGCGUCUAGGCGGUUUGGUAAGUCUGAUGUGAAAAUGCGGGGCUCAACUCCGUAUUGCGUUGGAAACUGCCAAACUAGAGUACUGGAGAGGUAGGCGGAACUACAAGUGUAGAGGUGAAAUUCGUAGAUAUUUGUAGGAAUGCCGAUGGGGAAGCCAGCCUACUGGACAGAUACUGACGCUAAAGCGCGAAAGCGUGGGUAGCAAACAGGAUUAGAUACCCUGGUAGUCCACGCCGUAAACGAUGAUUACUAGGUGUUGGGGGUCGAACCUCAGCGCCCAAGCUAACGCGAUAAGUAAUCCGCCUGGGGAGUACGUACGCA
rnacentral:rRNA from 1 species